GAUGAACGCUGACCGAAUGCUUAACACAUGCAAGUCCACUUGAACUUCGGUUUGGGUGGCGGACGGGUGAGUAACGCGUAAAGAACUUGCCUCACAGCUAGGGACAACAUUUGGAAACGAAUGCUAAUACCUGAUAUUAUGAUUUUAGGGCAUCCUAGAAUUAUGAAAGCUAUAUGCGCUGUGAGAGAGCUUUGCGUCCCAUUAGCUAGUUGGAGAGGUAACGGCUCACCAAGGCGAUGAUGGGUAGCCGGCCUGAGAGGGUGAACGGCCACAAGGGGACUGAGACACGGCCCUUACUCCUACGGGAGGCAGCAGUGGGGAAUAUUGGACAAUGGACCAAGAGUCUGAUCCAGCAAUUCUGUGUGCACGAUGAAGUUUUUCGGAAUGUAAAGUGCUUUCAGUUGGGAAGAAAAAAAUGACGGUACCAACAGAAGAAGUGACGGCUAAAUACGUG
rnacentral:rRNA from 1 species